GCCUCGUUAGCUCAAUGGAGCAGAGCGCCGGUCUACGAAGCCGGAGGCUGAGGCCGGACACAGGGUGCGCCUGCGCGCAGCCUGUGCCUGCCGAAGGGCGUUCGCUCUGCGAACGCGCGGCCUGCAAGGUGGACGUUCGAGUCGUCCACGAGGCACCA
rnacentral:tRNA from 1 species